GAGAGAGAGAGAGAGAGAGAGAGAGAGAGAAGCGCAUGCUCAUCAUUUACGCAAACAAGUUUUGGUUUGAAAACUCGUUAUUCUUUAUUGAAUUGUAUGUUAUUGUGUAUUACACAAAACGAGCAUUUAUUAUCUCUUUAGCCUGUCAGUAUGUUCAACAUAGCCAUCGUAGUGCAUAAGCAAAUAAUUAUGACCUGCCACCUAGUGUCAGAAAUAAUUAUACAGCGCGCAUAUAUAAAUGAAUCACUUGGACUUUCGUCACGCCAUGACGGGCUUCUCACUCGCGAGAUAUAUCACGGUCAGUAUAGACGUGGCCAGAAACGUCCCCGCCAUGUUCUCUCUGCGUGUUUGUCGUCGAAGAUUAAAGCUGUGACAACUUCGAAUGCGCAUCAUAAUUGCAGCUAAGGUUCAAUCGCCAGACUGGAGGACACGGAAAAUUAUCACGUUUUCGAGGCAGCGUCGUGCAAUGAUUGAGUGGUUAACGGUCUUCAGUUGAAAAUACCAAGAGGUGCACAGAGAUAAACGCAGUGCCAAUGCACGUCCGCUGAGGACACGGAAAUCAAGAUGUUUUC